UAUAGUAGAAAGUGAAGGAACAUCAAGAAAAAGUAGGAGAAAAGCUUGGUUCUCCAUACAAAGUCCCAGUUUUCUAUUGCUCUCUCUCUUCACAAGUUUCUCUCAGAGAAUAGGAGCAGGACGGAGGCUCAGUACAUCACCGCGAAAACGUCAAAGUGGUGGGACAUAGAACUUCCUGAUCCCUUUGGCGACAGCCACGCCAUUGCCCAGAACAUGAAGCCAGUCAUCGUCAAAUUGAACUACAACGACCCAUUCUCAACCUCCCGCUACGGCGACACCUAAAUCGCAUCGCCCUCAAUCACAUUCUAGCAGGUCUAUCCAGAAGCGACACACCUAAUAAUUCCAUGGUUUUGAGAGGCCAAUCAUCUAUGAUGUCCACGCACAACCCCAUUUCGUGGACAGCACUGCUGGAAGCCGUGACCUCUAGAUGGUAUGAAUAAACCUUUUCCAUCUUUGUACAUUGUCUGAAGGAUAAGUUGAAGAUUGGACAACGUCUGUGAUUGUCGAUUCGUUUAUUCUUUCAAUUUCAGACUG